rnacentral:rRNA from 1 species
UACGUAGGGGGCUAGCGUUGUCCGGAAUCAUUGGGCGUAAAGCGCGUGUAGGCGGCCCGGUAAGUCCGCUCUGAAAGUCGGGGGCUCAACCCUCGGAUGCCGGUGGAUACUGUCGGGCUUGAGUACGGAAGAGGCGAGUGGAAUUCCUGGUGUAGCGGUGAAAUGCGCAGAUAUCAGGAGGAACACCAAUUGCGAAGGCAGCUCGCUGGGACGUUACUGACGCUGAGACGCGAAAGCGUGGGGAGCAAACAGG